CACCAAUCAAGCCUGGCUUGGUAUUGGGCGACGGGGGCCGUCACACGCCCCCGCGCCCCAAAGACCCGACCGGCGGGACGGACCAAAUCUCAGCGUUGUGCAAACCAUUGUCGCUGGCGAGAUGGGACGGCCGAGCCGUGAAAACCCCCCUUCUUCUGUAA
rnacentral:misc_RNA from 1 species